GGGUCAGUAGGUUGGUCAUGCCGCAGGUAUGUACUGGCCUCACUGAUUCCUCCUUCCUGAUGAGCCGUAAUGCCAUUAAUUUGGUGUUGCGAGGAAUCUGGACUGUUACUUUGAAAAAUUAGAGUGUUUAAAGCAGGCUAACGCUUGAAUGCAUUAGCAUGGAAUAAUGAAAUAGGACGUUCGAUCUUAUUUUGUUGGUUUCUAUGAUUGACGUA
rnacentral:rRNA from 1 species